rnacentral:lncRNA from 1 species
AUGCCUAGGGCGAGGAGGUCGACUCCACGCCUCAGGAUUGCCUCCACCAAGAAAGACAGGAGGGUUAUUGUUGUUGAAGACUCUAUUCUUAGGGGAACAGAGGGCCCUAUUUGUCGGCCUGACCCUACCCGUAGGGAAGUCUGCUGCCCCCCUGGGGCCAGGGUCAGGGAUGUUGCCAGGAAGCUUCCCAACCUGGUACGCCCCUCUGAUUAUUAUCCUCUUGUGAUAGUCCAGGCGGGCAGUGACAACAUUGAAGAAAGAAGCCUGAAGGCUAUCAAAAGAAACGUUAGGGGGCUGGGACGGUUAGUGGAUGGAGCGGGAGUGCAGGUGGUGGUUUCAUCCAUCCCUACGGUGGCAGGGAGGGGUACGGAGAGGACACGGAAAGCCCACCUGUUAAACACGUGGCUCCGGGGCUGGUGCCAACGCAGGAAUCUUGGGUUUUUCGACCAUGGGGCACUUUACUCAGCACCUGGCCUGAUGGCCGUAGACGGGUCCCUAUCCUUUAGGGGAAAACGGAUCCUGGGCCAGGAGCUGGUGGGGCUCAUUGAGAGAGCUUUAAACUCUCUCUUUAAACUAGGUAAGAAGGGGGAUGGGGCUGAAGCAAGGAUUGUUGGGGCUGUGCCAGGGGGAACAAUGGCAAGGCCAGGGGAUAAGGUAAAGGCCCUGCUGAAGUGCAUCUACAUCAAUGCAUGCAGCAUGGGUAACAAACAGGAGGAGCUGGAAGCCAUUGUGCAGCAGGCAGGCUAUGACUUGGUUGCCAUCAUGGAGACGUGGUGGGACCAGUCUCAUGACUGGAGUGCUGCAAUGACUGGCUAUAGGCUCUUCAGAAGGGACAGGCAGCACAGAAGGGGUGGCGGUGUGGCUCUCUAUAUUAGAGAGUCUUUCGAUGUUGUAGAACUCGAGGUUGGGAAUGACAAGGUUGAGUCCCUUUGGGUUAGGAUCGGCAGGGACAACAAGGCUAGUGUCCUGGUCGGGGUCUGCUAUAGACUGCCAAACCAGGAAGAGGAGUUCUACAGGCAGCUGACAGAAGUUGCGAAAUCUUCAGCGCUUGUACUCACGGGAGACUUAAACAUCCCUGACAUAUCCUGGAAGCACAACACAGCCCAGAGAAAGCAGUCUAGGACGUUUCUGGAGAGCGUGGAAGAUAGCUUCCUGACGCAGCUGAUUAGUGAACCUACCAGGGGUGGUGCCCCGCUAGACCUUCUCUUCACAAACAGAGAAGGACUGGUGGAGGAUGUGAUUGUCGGGAGCUGUCUUGGGCAGAGUGACCACAAAAUGGUGGAGUUCACUAUUCUUGGAGAGGCCAGGAAGGGGACCAGUAAAACCACUGUAUUGGACUUUCAGAGGGCUGACUUUGGGCUGCUCAGGACACUAGUUGGUGGAGUUCCUUGGGAGGCGGUUCUGAAGGACAGAGGGGUCCAGGAAGGCUGGGCACUCUUCAAGAGGGAAAUCCUAAUGGCGCAGGAGCAGUCUGUCCCCAUGUGCCCAAAGAUGAGCCAG